rnacentral:rRNA from 1 species
UACAGAGACUGCAAGCGUUAUUCGGAUUCACUGGGCGUAAAGGGUGCGCAGGCGGCCAAGUGUGUGAGGCGUGAAAGCCUGGGGCUUAACUCCAGAAUUGCACCUCAAACUACAUGGCUAGAGCAUUGGAGAGGGUAGCAGAAUUCACGGUGUAGCAGUGAAAUGCGUAGAUAUCUGGAGGAAUACCGGUGGCGAAGGCGGCAUCCUGGACCAUUACUGACGCUGAGGCGCGAAAGCUAGGGGAGCAAACGGG